rnacentral:rRNA from 1 species
AACGAACGCUGGCGGCAGGCUUAACACAUGCAAGUCGAACGCCCCGCAAGGGGAGUGGCAGACGGGUGAGUAACGCGUGGGAAUCUACCCAUCCCUACGGAACAACUCCGGGAAACUGGAGCUAAUACCGUAUACGCCCUUAGGGGGAAAGAUUUAUCGGGGAUGGAUGAGCCCGCGUUGGAUUAGCUAGUUGGUGGGGUAAUGGCCUACCAAGCCGACGAUCCAUAGCUGGUUUGAGAGGAUGAUCAGCCACACUGGGACUGAGACACGGCCCAGACUCCUACGGGAGGCAGCAGUGGGGAAUCUUGCGCAAUGGGGGCAACCCUGACGCAGCCAUACCGCGUGAGUGAUGAAGGUCUUCGGAUUGUAAAGCUCUUUCGGCGGGGACGACGAUGACGGUACCCGCAAAAGAAGUCACGGCUAACUUCGUGCCAGCAGCCGCCGUAAGAC